rnacentral:rRNA from 1 species
GACGAACGCUGGCGGCGUGCUUAACACAUGCAAGUCGAACGGUAAGGCCCUUCGGGGUACACGAGUGGCGAACGGGUGAGUAACACGUGGGUGAUCUGCCCUGCACUUCGGGAUAAGCCUGGGAAACUGGGUCUAAUACCGGAUAGGACCACUGCCUGCAUGGGUGGUGGUGGAAAGCUUUUGCGGUGUGGGAUGGGCCCGCGGCCUAUCAGCUUGUUGGUGGGGUGAUGGCCUACCAAGGCGACGACGGGUAGCCGGCCUGAGAGGGUGACCGGCCACACUGGGACUGAGAUACGGCCCAGACUCCUACGGGAGGCAGCAGUGGGGAAUAUUGCACAAUGGGCGCAAGCCUGAUGCAGCGACGCCGCGUGAGGGAUGACGGCCUUCGGGUUGUAAACCUCUUUCAGCACCGACGAAGCGCAAGUGACGGUAGGUGCAGAAGAAGGACCGGCCAACUACGUGCCAGCCGCCGUAAUAC